AGGCCUAACACAUGCAAGUCGAACGGUAACAGGAAGCAGCUUGCUGCUUGCUGACGAGUGGCGGACGGGUGAGUAAUGUCUGGGAAACUGCCUGAUGGAGGGGAGUAACUACUGGAAACGGUAGCUAAUACCGCAUAACGUCGCAAGACCAAAGAGGGGGACCUUCGGGCCUCUUGCCAUCAGAUGUGCCCAGAUGGGAUUAGCUUGUUGGUGGGGUAACGGCUCACCAAGGCGACGAUCCCUAGCUGGUCUGAGAGGAUGACCCAGCCACACUGGAACUGAGACACGGUCCAGACUCCUACGGGAGGCAGCAGUGGGGAAUAUUGCACAAUGGGCGCAAGCCUGAUGCAGCCAUGCCGCGUGUAUGAAGAAGGCCUUCGGGUUGUAAAGUACUUUCAGCGGGGAGGAAGGUGUUGUGGUUAAUAACCACAGCAAUUGACGUUACCCGCAGAAGAAGCACCGGCUAACUCCGUGCCAGCAGCCGC
rnacentral:rRNA from 1 species